CCCGCUGAACUUAAGCAUAUCAAUAAGCGGAGGAAAAGAAACUAACAAGGAUUCCCCUAGUAACUGCGAGUGAAGCGGAAAAAGCUCAAAUUUAAAAUCUGGCAGUCUCUGGCUGUCCGAGUUGUAAUCUAGAGAAGCAUUAUCCGCGCUGGACCGUGUACAAGUCUCCUGGAAUGGAGCGUCAUAGAGGGUGAGAAUCCCGUCUUUGACACGGACUGCCAGGGCUUUGUGAUGUGCUCUCAAAGAGUCGAGUUGUUUGGGAAUGCAGCUCAAAAUGGGUGGUAAAUUCCAUCUAAAGCUAAACAUUGGCGAGAGACCGAUAGCGAACAAGUACCGUGAGGGAAAGAUGAAAAGGACUUUGAAAAUAAAGUUAAAAGUGCGUGAAAUUGCUGACAGGGAAGCGAUUAGGUCGGCAGUGCCGGAUGUGUUCGCUCGCUCCGUCGCUUGACGUGACGUGCGAGUUUUGUUGCAUCCGGACAGCCACGCAUUUGGGAUGACACGCGUCGUCGCUGUUUGUCCCGAAUGCGCCCUGGCUGAGCGGGCCUAAACGACCCGUCUUGAAACACGG
rnacentral:rRNA from 1 species